GACGAACGCUGGCGGCGUGCUUAACACAUGCAAGUCGAACGGAAAGGCCCUGCUUUUGUGGGGUGCUCGAGUGGCGAACGGGUGAGUAUCACGUGUGUAACCUGCCCUUUACUUUGGGAUAACUUCAGGAAACUGGGGCUAAUACCGGAUAUGAGCUCCUGCUGCAUGGUGUGGGUUGGUAAGUUUCGGCGGUUGGGGAUGGACUCGAGGCUUAUCAGCUUGUUGGUUGGGUAGUGGCUUACCAAGGCUUUGACGGGUAGCCGGCAUGGGAGGGUGACCGGGCACAAAGGGACUGGGAAAGGGGCAAGAGGGCAACGGGAGGAAGAGGUGGGAAAGAGAGCAAAAAGGGAGGAAGGAGGAAGGAGGAACGCCGGGUGGGGGAAGACGGCCGGCGGGGAGGAAAGCGCUUGAGCCUGUGACGAAGAGAGAGUGACGGUAAUGGGUAAAGAAGCAACGGCUAACUACGUG
rnacentral:rRNA from 1 species